CCCCUAGAUGUUCUGGGCCGCACGCGCGCUACACUGAACAGUUCAACAAGUCUUAACCUUGGCCGAUAGGUCUGGGUAAUCUUUGAACGCUGUUCGUGAUUGGGAUAGACCUUUGCAAUUAUGGGUCUUCAACGAGGAAUUCCUAGUAAACGCAAGUCAUCAGCUUGCAUUGAUUACGUCCCUGCCCUUUGUACACACCGCCCGUCGCACCUACUGAUUGAAUGGUCCGGUGAAAUCUCGGGACGGCGGCUUGGUCGCUUGCGUCCGACUGCUGAAACUUGAUUAAACCAUAUCAUUUAGAGGAAGGUGAAGUCGUANCA
rnacentral:rRNA from 1 species